CGGCUUAUGAAAUAUCGAUUUCUAUUGUGGUUAUAAACAUCGGUCGUUAAAUUAACCGAUGUGUAAACUUUCGUUCAAAAAUUUUGAAAAAAACACGGAGGGACUAAGUUAAAAAGUUUGAGAAACGCGGGGUCCAAAAUUUUAAUUCCUCCAACACUUAGUCAUUUUGUCUGAAACUUUCGAACCCUAAUUGAUAAACUCUCACUGCCUCCUUCUUCGCGUUCCCGACCUCAGCUCCUUCUCCAAUUAACCUGACCCGCGCCCCCGACCACAGCUCCUUCUCCGACCUGACCCGGGGCCCCGACCUCAGCUCAGAGCCUGGAGCUCGUUCUUCGUCCUGACCUCGAGCUCAUUCUCCGACCUAAGCCACCUCAAGCCUUUUCUCCGACCACCACCAGCGUCCGGUUUCGAAUUUGAUUUCUUCUAGUUGAGGGAUUCAAGUUGAUUUUGCUUCCGCCCGAAACCCUAUUCAACUCUUCCCGUGAUUUGGUAAUUUCUUUCCGAUUGGCAAAUCUCUCUUUUCUAACUUUGUUUCCGACUUUCCAGGUUGCCCAAGCGAAGAAGCCCAUCAUUGCUCCUCCUCCCAAAAGCCAGUGGAUUUUGAUUUAUGAUGCGAUUGCUUUUAAAAUUGUUGCAAUAUGGGGACCAAGAGG